UGUCUUCUAAAUAAAGACCUGUAUGAAUGGCCACAUGAGAAAGAAACUGUCUCUUGAAGACAGUCGGUGAAACUGAUCUACCUGUACAAAAGCAGGUAUGCCAAAACAAGACAAAAAGACCCUGUGAAACUUUAAAUUCCCAUCAAAUAUAUGAUGUUAAUUUUAAGUUGGGGCAACUUAAGAGAAACAAAACCUCUACAUCACCACCAGAUCGACAAAUCUACUGGACAAACCAUAUGACCCAGUACUACUGAUCCAUGGACCAAGCUACUCCAGGGAUAACAGCGCUACAUUCUUGAAGAGUUCUUAUCAACAAGAAUACCUACGACCUCGAUGUUGGAUCAGGAUACCCAAGUGGUGUAGAAGCUACUAACGGUUCGUUUGUUCAACGAUUAAAAU
rnacentral:rRNA from 1 species